AACGCACAUUGCGCCCAUUGGUAUUCCGAUGGGCAUGCCUGUUCGAGCGUCAUUAUUCUCCCUCAGACCGGGUUCCCGGGCUGGUGCUGGGCCGCGUCCGUCCUCUCCCGGACCGACGGGCCUCAAAGACAAUGACGGCGUCCGUGGGACCCUCGGUGCAACGAGCUUCUAGGAGCACGCGUCGAGUUGCAAGGUCCCGGCGGGCCGGUCGACCCCUUUUACACAUCCAAAAGGUUGACCUCGGAUCAGGUAGGAAUACCCGCUGAACUUAA
rnacentral:misc_RNA from 1 species